rnacentral:lncRNA from 1 species
AUGUCACAGUACAGGAAAAAUAAACAGAGUAAAAAGAACUGCAUUUGGGGAAAUCAAGAACUGAAUACGUUCCUUUUUUAUUUCUGCUCAUUUUCAGGGUGGUUCUUCCCAAACAGAGUUGAGCAGCCAGGUGAGUCAAAUAGUCCACCUUCCUGCAGAUCUAUUGAUGAGAAAUUAGCAAUAAGGAGCGGGGGAAUUCUAGACACCUCCGAUUUCCAGGAAGUGUGGUUCGGUGUGAUUGCAUAGCCGCCUGAGCUAAACACUAACCCACACAGAGGCGUUUUUAAAAUACAUAUUUCAUUCUCGGACUUGUGUAGUGCCAUAGGUUGAUUUGCUUUGAAGCCCAAUUUUAGCGAUUAGGACUUGAUAAUUUUCUCCUUUAUUAGUAAAGCCCUCACACUGUCAUGUGGAGCUCAAAGGGAAGUACGCUGCCAGACUUGGCCCCACCAGGUGCCACGAUAAUACUCUGACAACGGAGACUAUCAUUAGGCUAGGUGGAAGAUGCCGGCAGAGCUGUUCUUGAUGGCCAGCCUCUCCUUUCUCCCCGUGAUACUCUGAGUCCAGCUAGCCUUUUCCUUUCUGAAUUCUGUGUCGUCCCUCCUUUUUGCCCCGUCAAGAGCGUUAGUCACAGUUACCCGUUUGCGUUGUAUGUUGUAGCUGAGGCAAAGCAUAUGGGCUGUACGGCUGGCGAGCACCUUGCCCGCUGUCGACGCGCAGGGCCCGAGUCUCUGCUGGGUAAGCAGCAAGCGCUUGGACAGGGAACAGCGUUGGACCCGCUGUGCGCGCGCCGCCUGACGGCACUUUUCCUGGGACGGGAUGGCAGCGUCGAGCGAUGCUGAUUGUGCUGAAACGGAGGCGCGGGCCCGUGCCGAACUGCGGCGUGGAAGCCCUCUGCGGCUGAGCAACCGAACUCGCCUCCCUCUGGCUUUCACCGGCACAGGUACAAAGUGAAGCUCAUGCUCGUUAGGGAAAUUUGGGUCCCCCAGCUACGGUGCGCUGCCCUCACUGAAAGCCCUCCGUCUGGCCUGACAGCGGGCUAACGCUCUGCAAAGGGCAGCCGCUGACGUCGGGCUUCUCCGGCACGUGAGGCUGUUGAACUUGUGCAAGACUAGACCCCUCGCGCGGGGACUGAAAUCCUCGUCUGGUGAAACGCGGUGAACAAAACAAGCGAAAGGCGGGUGCUGAACAGUUGUACUGAGCUGUCCCUCACAAGAGGAAGAGGAUUGGAGAAUGUCAAAGUUAAGCA